rnacentral:rRNA from 1 species
CCUACGGGUGGCAGCAGUGAGGAAUAUUGGUCAAUGGGCGGAAGCCUGAACCAGCCAAGUAGCGUGCAGGAUGACGGCCCUAAGGGUUGUAAACUGCUUUUAUACGGGAAUAACGCGCCUUACGUGUAGGGCUUUGCAUGUACCGUAUGAAUGAGGACCGGCUAAUUCCGUGCCAGCAGCCGCGGUAAUACGGAAGGUCCGGGCGUUAUCCGGAUUUAUUGGGUUUAAAGGGAGCGUAGGCCGCAUGUCAAGCGUGCUGUGAAAUGGCCGGGCUCAACCCGGGCCGUGCAGCGCGAACUGGCUUGCUUGAGACCGCGGAAGGCAUGCGGAAUUCGUCGUGUAGCGGUGAAAUGCUUAGAUAUGGCGAAGAACCCCGAUUGCGAAGGCAGCUUGCUGCAGCGGAACUGACGCUGAGGCUCGAAAGCGCGGGUAUCGAACAGGAUUAGAUACCCCAGUAGUC